AGCUGGUCUGAGCACAGAGGUGUUUGCAACUAACUAACCACAACCAGUUACAGAUUUCUUUGUUCCUCCACUCCCACUGCUUCACUCUUGACUGACCUUUA
ensembl:misc_RNA Y_RNA Y RNA